ACACCUACAUGGCUGCUGGCUGGCGAAUUUGAGGUGCCCGACGGAGGAAAUCACAAGUGCGCGCUGAGCGUUUUCGUUCGUGGGAGAAUUCGGGCCGUAUCAGCCACAACUCCGGAACACUAACAUCACUAUUUGCAUUGGCACCUUUCUUGCUGUUUCGCGCAUGAGAAGCACUGUUCAUUACCGUCGUUAUUUCUCUAUGGCACCGGUGGUGUCUAUUCCGUCGCGCCGCGGGAAUGUGGGCGGGGCAGUGGCAUUGCUCCCCCUCCUUCUUUUGCUUAUGCUCUGCCUCGCGUGCAUCGCCUCUUCUCCCGCCGUCGCCGCGGAGGAGCUAAAGCUCAGCUGCUCCUACUGCCAGGAACGCGGAUACCCCUACCUGUGUCACGCUACAAUGGAGAGCGGCACCUGCUUCAGCAACGCAGGUGAGAUUAACUGCAACGGCGCGAAGGGUUGUACGUGCUGCCGCUUGGCGGACGCGGCUGGUUGUACAUUCUGCAGUAUGGAAGCUGAGUGGGACACUUACGACGACGGUGAAGAGGACAUUUGAGCGUGUGUUUUACGCGCCAUCUGUCGCACCUUUCUCUUUCUCGUGGUGCGCAUGUGUGGAGUGUAUGUGUAUGUGUCUACGUGUAUGUAAUGCACAGAAUUGUGGCCUCUCCGUUUGGGCUGACAGUUGGCCAGCAACAUAAGCAACUAAACAGACUUCGAGGUGGUGCACUACCAGCACCAGCACAAGCGGUGGGCGAAAAAGGUAUCUUUGCCUCUACCAUUCGUGAAAGACCUCAAGCCCCCGCGGCGCUCUCUCUCCUUUUCGAGGGGAGGAGAGUCAUGGACACGUGGUUUGUUUACAUACCUUUCACAUGUAUGUAGCAUGGUGUAUUCGUUUUGUUUUUAUUUCUCAUCUUCAUCUGAUCCCUAAUGACGGGGGACACCUCAGCGUGGUGACCGGGUCACGUGCAUACCGGCGCAGGGAAGUCCGAGCGAAUUAUCGCUGCGGAUGUCCGCGGCCAGGCCCUGGAUGGCGCCGCGUCGGUGCGCGCGGCGACAGUGCACACAUUUGUGUCAUCCAUAUGUUAAGCAAGGUGUCGGCGUGACUCUAACGUACCCCACCUGGCCCUCGCACUGCCUACUGGUGGUGGGGAGCCUAAGCCACUCCGUGUGAUGCGCCAGGUGGCGGCCCGCGAGGCGGGGGUGGGUGGGUAGAGUCUGAGGCAGAGGCCGUGCUCCGAUGACUGGGCCGGCAUUGCACUAGCGAGUGUGUGUCUCCCGCUGCAGUGCGCCAGGCGAUGGGGCCUGUGACAGACAGGGGAUAGAGUGGAGCCCGACUCAUGUUGUAUUGGUAGAGAGUGGACACGCUGCAAAGGAAGCAGACGAUAAAAAGGGGCCCUCAUCUCGUGCUCUCACCGCCGCUCUCCCGUGUACUUUUUCCUCUCCCUGCCCAUCGCCUCUGUCUCAUUUCAUCACUUUUUUUUUGGAAUGUGUCUUUGUGUGCAUUUUGUACGCGAGGAG
rnacentral:misc_RNA from 1 species